UCCUGGCUCAGAGCGAACGUUAGCGGCGGGCCUAACACAUGCAAGUCGAACGCGAAAGGUCUUCGGGCUGAGUAGAGUGGCGCACGGGUGAGUAACACGUAGGUAAUCUACCCUUUGGCGGGGGAUAACGUUCCGAAAGGAGCGCUAAUACCGCAUAAGACCACGGAGUCUCCGGACGCUGUGGGAAAAGGUGGCCUCUUCUUGAAAGCUACCACCGAAGGAUGAGCCUGCGUCCCAUCAGCUAGUUGGUAAGGUAAUGGCUUACCAAGGCGAAGACGGGUAGCUGGUUUGAGAGAAUGAUCAGCCACACUGGCACUGGAACACGGGCCAGACUCCUACGGAAGGCAGCAGUGAGGAAUAUUGGGCAAUGGGCGAAAGCCUGACCCAGCCACGCCGCGUGAGUGAUGAAGGCCCUCGGGUCGUAAAGCUCUGUGGAGAGGGACGAAAACCCUGGUUUCAAAUAGGCUCCAGGCUUGACGGUACCUCUUUAGCAAGCACCGGCUAACUCUGUG
rnacentral:rRNA from 1 species